AUGGUUGCAGUUCUGGAGGCUGUGAAGUCUGAGGUCAAGGGGCCAUAUCUGGUGAAGGCCUGCUUGAUAGUGAGGACUCUGGAGAGUUCCAAAUUGGCAAAUGGCAUCAUAUGGUUUGGGACCCUCUCGCUGGACGAGAUUCCCGGGCUUGCGUUCAGUUCACAACAGAGGUGCAUUCAUGGGAUCAUGGCUCUCACUUCAAGCCUCAAACUCCUGGGCUCAAGCAGUCCUCCCACCUCAGCCUCCUGAGUAGCUCGG
rnacentral:lncRNA from 13 species